rnacentral:rRNA from 1 species
CCUACGGGAGGCAGCAGUGAGGAAUAUUGGUCAAUGGCCGGAAGGCUGAACCAGCCAAGCCGCGUGAAGGACGAAGGUGCCAAGCAUUGUAAACUUCUUUUGUCAAGGGACAAAAUCAGGCUCGAGAGCCUGACCGAGGGUACUUGAAGAAAAAGCAUCGGCAAACUCCGUGCCAGCAGCCGCGGUAAUACGGGGGAUGAGAGCGUUAUCCGGAUUUAUUGGGUUAAAGGGGUGCGUAGGCGGGCUGUUAAGUCAGCGGUAAAAGCCCGGGGCUAAACCCCGGCGAGCCGUUGAAACUGGCUGUCUUGAGAUGUCGAGAGGUAUGCGGAAUGCGCAGUGUAGCGGUGAAAUGCGUAGAUAUUGCGAAGAACUCCAGUGGCGAAGGCAGCAUACCGGCGGCGAUCUGACGCUGAGGCACGAAAGCGUGGGUAGCGAACAGGAUUAGAUACCCGUGUAGUC